rnacentral:misc_RNA from 1 species
AGUCGUAACAAGGUUUCCGUAGGUGAACCUGCGGAAGGAUCAUUAUCGUAUAACGGAGGUGCCGGGGCUGUCGCUGACUUUGUGCACGCUCCGGUGCUCUCUUACAAUCCAUCUCACCCCUUUGUGAAUCACCGCGUGGGUGCUCUCCUUUUGGUUUGUUCCAAAAGGGGGCAUUUGCGUUUUUAUACAAAACCACUGCAUGUGUAGAAUGUCUUACUAUUUGUGAUAAUGCACAAUCAAUACAACUUUCAACAACGGAUCUCUUGGCUCUCGCAUCGAUGAAGAACGCAGCGAAAUGCGAUACGUAAUGUGAAUUGCAGAAUUCAGUGAAUCAUCGAAUCUUUGAACGCACCUUGCGCCCCUUGGAAUUCCGAGGGGCACACCCGUUUGAGUGUCGUGAACAUCCUUCAACCUUUCUUGGUUUCUUGACCAGGGAAGGCUUGGACUUUUGGGGGUCUUUCAUUGCUGGCCUCUUUGAAGCCAGCUCCUCCUAAAUGGAUUAGUGUGGUCUGCUUUGCCGAUCCUUGACGUGAUAAGAUGUUUCUACGUCUUGGGUUUCGCACUGUCGCUUCAGACCCCGCUUCUAACCGUCUUGCAUUCAAGACAGAGUUUUAAACCUUGACCUCAAAUCGGGUGAGACUACCCGCUGAACUUAAGCAUAUCAAUAAGCGGAGGAAAAGAAACUAACAAGGAUUCCCCUAGUAACUGCGAGUGAAGCGGGAAAAGCUCAAAUUUAAAAUCUGGUGG